AUAAGAUGGAGUCCCGAGACUAUGAUACAUAGAUGAUGAUGCGACAUAUGGGUGAUGCUGUGGCACUCAGCAACCGAACACUUUUGGGCUGAAAAUUCCACAGCAAGUGCCACAAAACACUCAUAGGCCGCGUCAUCAAAAUAAAAAAAAUCAUCUGUUAUGACUUAUGCCACAUCAUCACCAAUUGGCCAUGUAAUCACCUAUCUAAGCAAUUUCUGCCACAUAAUU
rnacentral:lncRNA from 1 species